UGGCUUUCAAAAGUUGAUUUAAAUUUUGUCAAUAUCAAUUUUAAUGAAAUUAACAACGCUAUAAUAUUUUUGUGCACUUGCACCAGUGUUUAUUAGAUCAUUCGUUAACGUUAAUUGUGUUUCUACCCAUAUGUCAGUAACACCUCUAGUGAGACUUGCCAAUGACGAAAGCACUGACCACUAUAGUUGUUAAUUCCAGAAUGGCAUUUUUCAAUAAUUGUCUGUCAGGGAGUGUGUAUCUAUACUUCCCACAUGUAUUUAUAUGUCCUAAAUGUAAUUAUACAUCCAACCAUACUAACUUAU
rnacentral:lncRNA from 1 species